CUACGGGCGGCUGCAGUGAGGAAUUUUGCGCAAUGGGGGGAACCCUGAUGCAGCAACGCCGCGUGGAGGAUGACGCAUUUCGGUGUGUAAACUCCUUUUAUAUGUCAAGAAAAUGACGGUAGCAUAUGAAUAAGCACCGGCUAACUCCGUGCCAGCAGCCGCGGUAAUACGGAGGGUGCAAGCGUUACUCGGAAUCACUGGGCGUAAAGGACGCGUAGGCGGGUUGGAAAGUCAGGUGUGAAAUCCUACAGCUUAACUGUAGAACUGCACUUGAAACUUCUAAUCUAGAGUAUGGGAGGGGGAGAUGGAAUUAGUGGUGUAGGGGUAAAAUCCGUAGAUAUCACUAGGAAUACCUAAAGCGAAGGCGAUCUCCUGGAACAUUACUGACGCUAAGGCGUGAAAGCGUGGGGAGCAAACAGGAUUAGAUACCCUCGUAGUC
rnacentral:rRNA from 1 species